rnacentral:tRNA from 1 species
GCCACCGUAGCUCAGUUGGCAGAGCAGCGGUUUUGUAAACCGCAGGUCGCCGGUUCGAAUCCGGCCGGUGGCU